UACGGAAGGCAGCAGUGGGGAAUAUUGCACAAUGGGCGCAAGCCUGAUGCAGCCAUGCCGCGUGUAUGAAAAAGGCCUUCGGGUUGUAAAGUACUUUCAGUCGUGAGGAAGGUGUUAAGGUUAAUAACCUUAGCAAUUGACGUUAGCGACAGAAGAAGCACCGGCUAACUCCGUGCCAGCAGCCGCGGUAAUACGGAGGGUGCGAGCGUUAAUCGGAAUUACUGGGCGUAAAGGGCACGCAGGCGGUUAAUUAAGUUGGUAUGUGAAAUCCCCGGGCGUUAACCUGGGAAUGGCAUUCAAGACUGGUUUAGCUAGAGUCUUGUAGAGGGGGUUAGGAAUUCCUAUGUGUAGCGGUGAAAUGCGUAGAGAUGUGGAGGAAUACCGGUGGCGAAGGCGGCCCCGUGGACAAAGACUGACGCUCAUGUGCGAAAGCGUGGGGAGCAAACAGGGAUUAGAUACC
rnacentral:rRNA from 1 species